UACAGAGGUCCCAAGCGUUGUUCGGAUUCAUUGGGCGUAAAGGGUGCGUAGGCGGCGCGGUAAGUCGGGGUGUGAAAUCUCGGAGCUUAACUCCGAAACUGCAUUCGAUACUGCCGUGCUUGAGGACUGGAGAGGAGACUGGAAUUUACGGUGUAGCGGUGAAAUGCGUAGAUAUCGUAAGGAAGACCAGUGGCGAAGGCGGGUCUCUGGACAGUUCCUGACGCUGAGGCACGAAGGUCAGGGGAGCAAACGGG
rnacentral:rRNA from 1 species